GGGGAGGUCGCAUAGAGGCCGAGUGCGCAAGUUUGCUAAACUUGUUCGGAUGCAGUGAUGCGCCGACGAGGGUUCGAAUCCCUCCCUCCCCG
rnacentral:tRNA from 1 species